UCCAAAGCUGAAGAUAUUGUCUUUUUUCCAGUCCUGUGUUAGCUGAAGAGUUUCUUUAACAGUMAAAAAGGUUCCAGCAAGCAGACGACGACAAGACGCUAUCUGAUUUUCAUCAACCCAGAGGAGCAGCAAGCAGCAGCCACCAGACGAGGGGAGACGAAGAGGGUCCAGCGGGGAACAUCCAGCUCGCUGACAGCCUCAGAUGAACUGAAAAGAACUCAACAAAAUGGCGUCACGAACCAGGCCUGCACAGUCUUAAGGAGCGCCUCCUGCUGGUGAGAGAGACUACUCCUGCUGCAGGACUGAGCUGUGGCUGCUCCAUUUUCUUUUGAUCAGGCGAGUGAUUCUGUUCUAUCCACAAACUAAAAAAAAAAAAAAGAAAAAGAGAGAAACAAAGCAUUAUCUUUGUGACCGUUUCAAUUUCAUUUCACGGUCAAAGGGAGGUAUGUGGAUACAAAGUUGGGUUCAAACUCUAGUUGAAAAAUUGCUUUAUUGAAAGAAAGAAAGAACAGAGUUGAUUUGUAGUUUUUGGUAUAGUUUCAUUUUAUUUUAUUUUAUUCGGAGGUACAUUGAUCAACCUUGGCCAGAAAUAGGGACAUUUAAUUUGUCAGUCAUCGAAACUAUAAAAACUUUAAUAAGCACACACAAAGCACAUCAAAAAGCAGGAAAAA